UACGAAGGGGGCUAGCGUUGCUCGGAAUCACUGGGCGUAAAGCGCACGUAGGCGGAUUGCUAAGUCAGGGGUGAAAUCCUGGAGCUCAACUCCAGAACUGCCUUUGAUACUGGCGAUCUUGAGUCCGGGAGAGGUGAGUGGAACUGCGAGUGUAGAGGUGAAAUUCGUAGAUAUUCGCAAGAACACCAGUGGCGAUGGCGGCUCACUGGCCCGGUACUGACGCUGAGGUGCGAAAGCGUGGGGAGCAAACAGG
rnacentral:rRNA from 1 species